UACAGAGGGUGCGAGCGUUAAUCGGAAUUACUGGGCGUAAAGCGCACGUAGGCGGCUUUGCAAGUCAGAUGUGAAAUCCCCGGGCUUAACCUGGGAACUGCAUUUGAGACUGCAUUGCUAGAGUAUGGAGAGGGAAGUGGAAUUUCAGGUGUAGCGGUGAAAUGCGUAGAUAUCUGAAGGAACAUCAGUGGCGAAAGCGACUUCCUGGACCAAUACUGACGCUCAUGUGCGAAAGCGUGGGGAGCAAACAGG
rnacentral:rRNA from 1 species